AUGAGAUAUCGAGAGAAGAAGAAACACGUUCAGAACCGCCCUACUCCGACGCUGCACAACCGCUCGCCAGCCUCAAGCAUCGCCGAUUGGUUGCAGACAUUCUCUCCGACUCAAACCGUCCGCGUUUCACCAUUCACGGCGCACCACAGUCCCUAUUCGCACCGAUCAACACAUAGCUCUAGACCGACCACCUCCGAAAACAACAGCCGUUCAAAUCAGAUCUCAACCGCAAGCCAUCAUUCUGCCACCGACGUUUUCAGGCACAGCUCUUCCGACAAUGCGCAAGUCCCAGCCGUUCCCUCCGAUUGA